rnacentral:rRNA from 1 species
UCGCCAGGGAACUACGAGCUUCCCUUAAAACCCAAAGGACUUGACGGUGUCUCACCCCCCUAGAGGAGCCUGUUCUAUAAUCGAUACUCCACGAUACACCUUACCAUUCCUUGCAUGCUCAGUUUGUAUAUCUCCGUCAUAAGCUCACCAUGUGAACGCUACUAGUGAGCCAAAAGAUCCACCCCACCCACACGUCAGGUCAAGAUGCAACUAAUGGAAUGGACAGCAAUGGGCUACAAUUUCUACGAUAGAACAUACCAAAACUAAAUGAAACACUAACAUAAGGUGGAUUUAGAAGUAAAAAGAAAUCAAAAAGUUCUUUUUAACCUCACCCUGAGACGCGUACACACCGCCCGUCACCCUCCUCAACUUCCCUAGAAGAGGCAAGUCGUAACACGGUAAGUGUACUGGAAAGUGCACUUGGACAGCAAAAUGUAACUUAAUAAAAGUAUCUCGCUUACACUGAGAUGGAUGUCAAUUAACCUUAACCAUUUUGAGCCUUAACCUAAGCCCCCCCCCACCCACACUUCUAAUAAAUAAUAAAACAUUCUAUUAUUUAGUAACGGCGAUUAAAAAAU